rnacentral:rRNA from 1 species
GACGGAGGAGGCAAGCGUUAUCCGGAAUCAUUGGGCGUAAAGCGUCCGCAGGUGGCUGAUCAAGUCUGCUGUUAAAGCUCAGGGCUCAACCCUGAAACAGCAGUGGAAACUGGUAAGCUUAGAGUGCGGUAGGGGUAGAGGGAAUUCCCGGUGUAGCGGUGAAAUGCGUAGAGAUCGGGAAGAACACCAGUGGCGAAGGCGCUCUACUGGACCGCAACUGACACUGAGGGACGAAAGCUAGGGGAGCGAAUGGGAUUAGAUACCCCAGUAGUCCUAGCCGUAAACGAUGGACACUAGGUGUUGCGCGUAUCGACCCGUGCAGUGCCGGAGCCAACGCGUUAAGUGUCCCGCCUGGGGAGU